GACGAACGCUUGCGGCGUGCCUAAGAAAUGCAAGUCGAACGGAUGGCUUCGGCCAUUAGUGGCGAACGGUCGCGUAACACGUAGGCAACCUGCCCAGAAGUGGGGGACAACGGCCCGAAAGGGCCGCUAAUACCGCAUAUGAACCGAAGGUGGCAUCACCUUUUGUUUAAAGCCUUGUAGUAAUAUGAGGCGCUUUUGGGUGGGCUUGCGGCCUAUCAGCUUGUUGGUGGGGUAAUGGCCUACCAAGGCGACGACGGGUAGCUGGUCUGAGAGGACGAUCAGCCGGAUUGGGACUGAGAUACGGCCCAGACUCCUACGGGGGGCAGCAAUUAGGAAUCUUGCGCAAUGGGGGAAACCCUGACGCAGCGACGCCGCGUGCGGGAUGAAGGCCUUCGGGUCGUAAACCGCUUUUAUCGGGGAAGAAGAAUGUGACGGUACCUGAAGAAUAAGCACCGGCUAACUACGUGCCAGCAGCCGCCGUAA
rnacentral:rRNA from 1 species